rnacentral:rRNA from 1 species
UAUUAUGUUAAAAUAUAUUGUAUAUUGGAGUAGUAUUAGAUAUAUUCUUGAAACUCAAAGAAUUUGGCGGUGUUUUAGUCCAUUUAGAGGAAUCUGUUAAUUAAUUGAUAUUACACGAUAGGUUAUACUUAAAUUUGUUAUCAGUUUAUAUACCGUCGUCAUGAGAAUAUUUUAUGAAAAUUAAAAAUUUCUUGAUUUUUUAUUAAAAAGAAUGUCAGAUCAAGGUGUAAUUUAUAUUUAAGUUUGAAUGGAUUACAAUAUAAGGAUAUAUGAUGAAUUAAUGAUUUAAUAGAAAUUAUGAAGGUGGAUUUAAUUGUAAAUUAUAUUUAAUUUGUAUAUUUGAUUUAGGCUCUAAAAUGUGUACAUAUCGCCCGUCACUCUCGUUAUAAAAUGAG